rnacentral:lncRNA from 1 species
GUUCCUGUAGCUGCUCCAGCUCCAGUUCCUGCAGCUGCUCCAGUUCCAGUUCCUGCAGCUGCUCCAACUCUGGUUCCUGCAGCUACUCCAGCUCCGGUUCCUGCAGCUGCUCCAGCUCCUGUGGCUGGGUCAGAGAAACGAGAAGUAGCAGUGCAAGUUGACCCUGUAGAGAAGGUGAAAAAAUGGUAUAGAGAUUCAGGUCGUUUAGAACACAGAGAGUCUUCUGCCAAAUCUAGGUAUAGAGACUACAAUGAUUCUGGGCCAUCAAGGAUUCAGGAGGAGGAAGAUGAGGAUGCCGAAAAAUCAACAGUAACUACCCAAAACCUAUACGAGUGUGAGCUACGAGAUGUGCAAAAAGAUUUUGGUUGUUGUAUAGGUGAGCAGCUUGUCACCUGGCUGCUCUGGUGCUGGGACACUGGAGCCAAUUGUGUGGAAUUAGACGGCAGGGAAGCCAGACGACUGGGAUCCCUUGCUCGAGACGCAGGCAUUGACAAAGCAAUUGCAGAUGGAGCACAAUCCACCAGCCUCUGGAGGCGUCUCCUCUCAGCUGUGAGGGAAAGGUAUCCCUUCAAGGAAGAACUUUUAUGUCUACCAGGCAAGUGGACCACUAUGGAGAAGGGAAUCCAGUACCUGAGGGAAUUAGCCGUACGGGAAGUGAUUUAUGAGGAUCCAGACCUCAGACAAACAUCCAAAGAUCCAGAUGAAGUCAGGUGUACACAACCCAUGUGGCGGAAGUUUGUACGGAGUGCACCAUCAUCAUAUGCCAGUUCAUUGGCAAUAAUGGCCUGGAAAGAGGAUGAGGAACCCACAGUGGAUGAAGUAGCUAAACAACUUCGGCAGUACGAAGAAAGUCUCUCCUCUUCCUUACAGGCCUGCGUCUCAGCUGUGGAGAAACUUUCUGAAGAGUUCCACCAACUUGAAGAGAGAUUAUUCUCCUCUGCACCUGUACAAAGCAGUGUCUCAACUAUCAGGGGUAGGCGUUCAUCCACACAAGGAAGAUGAUAUGGUGGGUACUCACCCCGUGUCACCCUGUGGUUUUACUUAUGAGAUCAUGGAGAGGACAUGAGAAAAUGGGAUGGAAAAUCUACCGCGACCCUAGAGGCACGGGUACGUGAGUUGCAAAAGAAAACAAUAGGGAAAAAGGGCUUCUCUUGAAAAGUUUGCUGCUCCAACUUCCAGCAGGCAGUCCUUCAAACACAGAAACAAAGAA